rnacentral:rRNA from 1 species
UACGGAGGGUGCGAACGUUAAUCGGAAUCACUGGGCGUAAAGCGCGCGUAGGCGGUUCGUUAAGUGGGAUGUGAAAUCCCCGGGCUUAACCUGGGAAUUGCAUUUCAAACUGGCCGACUAGAGUACGGUAGAGGGAGGUAGAAUUUCCUGUGUAGCGGUGAAAUGCGUAGAUAUAGGAAGGAAUACCAGUGGCGAAGGCGGCCUCCUGGAUCGAUACUGACGCUGAGGCGCGAAAGCGUGGGGAGCGAACAGG